rnacentral:tRNA from 2 species
GGUGCCUUAGCUCAGCUGGUAGAGCAAUGGACUGAAAAUCCAUGUGUCCCCAGUUCGAUUCUGGGAGGUACCA